CCCGCCGCUCACACGGGCUGCGGCCGAGUUCAAUUCAGAACUGCGGCGAGUCCGGCUUCCCCGGGAGCCGGGGCCGCCCGGGCGCCGGGGGCCGAGUUCCGAGGGACUUUGCAAAAGAGGCGCUCGCCUCCCUCCCUGCGCGCCUCCUCCGGGAGCACGGGGAUGCUUGCACCUGCGCCGCCGGGGACCGCCUGGCCAGAGCCGCUGCUCCGCCCCCGGGGACGGGGGGACCUGCGCCCAGGAGCGCUUGGAAAUUGGAUCUUGGCAAAAUUAGCAACGAAUCCAUAAAGGAGACUAAAAGCCAUUUGAUCUCCCUCUUCAAUGACAGUCCCACAAAAGUCGAAGAAAUACAUUAUGUCUCCAAUGAAGAGAGCAGUUGUACCCUAAAAUUAGGACAUGAUUAAGUUCUGUAGUUUUAACCAGAACAAAAAGGAUUGCCCGGAAGAAAAGAAGGUAAGUUAUUUCCUAAGUUGGGUUGGAAAUUCAGAAGUUCUUUUCCAUCACCAGCAUUGUAUUCUUGAAAAAAAAAAUAAGACAAACUCUAAUUUUUUUUCACUUAUGAGCUGUUCCCAUAAAAACUGGCAGAGGGGGGUGGGGAGGAAAUCCACUGUAGAGACACAGCUAUACCCUAUUAUUAGAGGCAUUGGUGGUAUCCUAUAGGAAAUAUAGUUUGUUCUUGAAGACAGAAUAGGCUUAAUGUCAAAAAAAAAACUAAAAUAUCACACAUACCCCAAAAACAUGUUUAUAAAACAAAGCUUUUAAAUUUUUAAUUAUACCACUAAGCUGGCUUUCUAGUUUUUCUAGGAUAUCAAGGCAUUCAAAAAAAAAAAAAAAAAAGAAAGAAAGAAAGAAAAGAAAGAAAGAAAAAAAGAAAGAGAAAGAAAGAAAGAUUUACUCAGGUUAGUGUUGGAAACAUCACAUAGAAAUAUGUGUGGUGAUGUUACUGGAAAUGACUAUUUUUGUAAAGUAAACAAGUAGAAUGUCUGAGUUUUAAAAAGCCUGCCACACUGCCUUAAGGUUAAAGAUGCAAGUCUAGAUAUAUCUAAGAAAUUGUAGUUUGUUUAACUUUUGGUUCUAAGUAUUUUCUGAUGCAAAUAUUUAAAAGAUUGCUAUGUCUUCAGUUAAAAAUGAACAUUUUGAUGAAGUAGUAAUACUUAGGUUGUUUUCAGUUUCUGUAAUUAAAUGCUACUUGCUACUUAUUCGGGGCAUAGGUUUCAGUUCCAAAUCAUUGAGGACACGGCUAAGUGACAUAACCUAAUUUUUUAAAAAGUCAAACAACAAUUUUGUGGCAGUUUUCAACUAUAACUUUAAUUUGUGUUUUAGGGACUUCAUAUGUAGUUAAAUAGCAUCAGGAUCUUAAUUAUCAUAAUUUAAAUGAUAAUCUAUAAAAUAUGGAACAUGAUAAUAUAAUGAAUGCAGACUUAAGGAAAAAUUGCAUCCCCUUAGCCAGAAAAGUACGGGAAAUCAGAACCAAUGAGGAACAUAAUUAUUUUUCCUGAUACUUCGAUAGACUAAUCUAUAAAAGUUGGGUUUGAUAGAUCUUGUCUUAUUGGUAUAUGAAGAAACCCACGGCUGACAUCAGAGUUUGUGGGUGUGUGGCAUGUAUAUUCUUAAUAAAGAUAUCUAUGAUCAAUAUUGCAGAGAUAAUUAGGCUUCACAUAAAACUACCUCUUUUAGAGUCUUCAAGGCCAAGGAACUGCAGCUGUGAAUCACCUGCCUCUUCCACAGAGAGUGCCAAAGGGUCUAACUCCAUGAAAAUUCAACCAGAAUGCACAAAAAUACAAUAUUCCCAAUCUGCUAUUUAUAUUGCCACAUAAAUUAUAUAUAUGCACAACAAUAUUUGCCCAUUGUUAAUUUUUAUGUUGCACAAUUAUACUAAAUUUUGAAUGGCAUUUUUAACAAAAGAAGCCUAGAAGAAACAUCCUUUGGCUAAACAAAGGACAAAGUCAUCACGUAUACCUGAGAAAACAUUUUUAGAUCUAUUGUGGGGGUUGCUGAAAGAUACACUGAAAGAUGCUUAUGGCUCAAGAACAUAUUUCAUUUAGAAGCUGAGCUGUGCUUUCGUAUUUUAUCGACUUCAUAAAUACUGGAUCGAUAGGUUUUCAAUCAUAAAGGAAAUUUAGAAAGAGAAGAAAUGUAAGUGAAAAAUCUUGUUAGGAGCAGUAGUUAUAUAGAGAAGUGACUGCUUAUUUUUUCAAGAUGAAGUCUCAUUUUAAGUAAAUAACAUUUUCAGGAAAAGAAGUUGGUUAACAAAACAACGUUCACAUGAGGCAAUAUGCCACAUAACUCAAAGCCGGUGCAAAAAUGUUAGCUUGUAAAAGGGGAUUCAGUGCUGGUCAAUAAUCACAAGCUAUAUUUUCUCCACUGAAAAGAAGAGCUCUCUUCACAUUUUGAGUAUAAGUAAAGGGAAUUUAGUUCAUGUUCCACAGCUCUAUGGCCAUGAUGGCAGGCUUUGAUUUUUCAGUGGGUAUCAUGGAAAUUAUAAUAACUAUGACCAACUUGUAUUAACUAAAUAGGACUUAAUUUUUCUCUAGCCUGGGGUUCCUCAACAGAGGCACUAUUGAUAUUUUGGACCAGAUAACUACUAGGCAUGGGAGAUUGUACAUUGUAGCAUUGUGCAUUGUUACAUUUUUUAGUCAACAUCUUGGCAUCUACUCACCAGAUGCCGGUAGCAUUCCUCUCUCACCACAUUGGCAUUAGCAGACAUUGCCUUUGGUUGAGAAGCACCUGUCUAGACAUUUUUCAUUUCUUGUCUUAUCUCAAUGGAAAAUAAGUUAUGUUGGUUUUCUGCAGGAUCUUUAAUAGACAUUUUCUAUAGAACACUCUAAGUGAAGAAGUGGUCUACAAUGCAAAUGUUUCUGUAGGAUACAAAAAAAGUAGGAUACAAAAAAUAGAAUCUCAAUAGUACAUUCAUUACUUGAAACAUUAAAUAUUGUAUUAAAAUGACACAGAUUUUAAGGGAUAUUGACUGUGAGCUCAUAUUUUGUGCCAUACCUGAAAAUUUGCCACAUAAGCCAGGUAAAUUAAUGCAAAAUAUGUUUGCCUCUGAUUGGACAUGAAAAAUUUUUUCAUGUGUAUUAUAGCUAAAUAUAACAAUACCUUUUCAGAGGUAGCUUUCUGCAGCAGAAAACAAACUAAGGAUUCUUACCAGAUAAUUCUCCAUGGAGCUGAUUAUAGCAGAAGAGUGGCCCUCGUGUGUGUUUUCUGUACAUGUUGACUUUAUCCAUGUACUAGAGCACAGUUUCCCUGCAAUGGCACACAAACUACUGAAAACAAAAGAAAACAAUCUGCAGAGAACCUGGGAAAUCAUCAUCAAAAUGGGCUGAUAACCAUGUAUUUAAAAUAUGGAUUAUCAGCUAUUUUUUAACUAA
rnacentral:lncRNA from 1 species